rnacentral:rRNA from 1 species
UACGGAGGGUGCGAGCGUUGUCCGGAAUCACUGGGCGUAAAGGGCGCGUAGGCGGCGCGGAUAGUCGGCGGUGAAAGCCCGGAGCUCAACUCCGGGUCGGCCGUCGAUACUUCCGGGCUUGAGCACUGUAGAGGCAGAUGGAAUUCCGGGUGUAGCGGUGGAAUGCGUAGAGAUCCGGAAGAACACCGGUGGCGAAGGCGGUCUGCUGGGCAGUUGCUGACGCUGAUGCGCGACAGCGGUGGGGAGCAAACGAGG